GGAGUCGGCCAGGCAGCCGCGUCGCCCCACGGGGCGCCGAGGAAAGUCCGGGCUCCACAGGGCAAGGUGCCAGGUAACGCCUGGGCGGCGCAAGCCGACGGAAAGUGCAACAGAGAGCAGACCGCCGAUGGCCGGUUGCGCCUGGCGCAGCCGGAUCAGGCAAGGGUGAAACGGUGCGGCAAGAGCGCACCGCGAGUCUGGCAACAGACCGGCACGGCAAACCCCACCUGGAGCAAGACCGAAUAGGGGAACCAUGGCGUGGCCCGCGCCGUUCCCGGGUUGGUCGCUCGAGCCUUGCGGCGACGCAAGGCCUAGAGGAAUGGCUGCCCACGACAGAACCCGGCUUAUCGGCCGGCUCCCGCA
rnacentral:RNase_P_RNA from 1 species